ACACUCCUGCGGGAGGCAGCAGUGGGGAAUAUUGCACAAUGGGCGCAAGCCUGAUGCAGCCAUGUCGCGUGUAUGAAGAAGGCCUUCGGGUUGUAAAGUACUUUCAGCGGGGAGGAAGGCAAUACGGUUAAUAACCGUGUUGAUUGACGUUACCCGCAGAAGAAGCACCGGCUAACUCCGUGCCAGCAGCCGCGGUAAUACGGAGGGUGCAAGCGUUAAUCGGAAUUACUGGGCGUAAAGCGCACGCAGGCGGUCUGUCAAGUCGGAUGUGAAAUCCCCGGGCUCAACCUGGGAACUGCAUUCGAAACUGGCAGGCUUGAGUCUUGUAGAGGGGGGUAGAAUUCCAGGUGUAGCGGUGAAAUGCGUAGAGAUCUGGAGGAAUACCGGUGGCGAAGGCGGCCCCCUGGACAAAGACUGACGCUCAGGUGCGAAAGCGUGGGGAGCAAACAGGAUUAGAUACCCUUGUAGUCCCAUGAU
rnacentral:rRNA from 1 species